AAGCGAAACGCCCUACGGGGCGUCUGCCAGGCGUGGUGGCCUGGUACUGAUGAGCAGCCAAAC
rfam:Marinobacter sp. JG233 contig1, whole genome shotgun sequence.